GGUAGUGUGGCUGAGUGGUCUAUUGUCCUGUAUUUAAGCUCCAGUCUGAAAAGUGGUGUGGGAUCAAAUCCCACCACUGCCA